UACGAGGGGGGCAAGCGUUGUUCGGAAUUACUGGGCGUAAAGCGUGCGCAGGCGGUUAUGUAAGACAGAUGUGAAAUGCCCGGGCUUAACCUGGGAACUGCAUUUGUGACUGCAUGGCUAGAGUUUGGCAGAGGGGGGUAGAAUUCCACGUGUAGCAGUGAAAUGCGUAGAUAUGUGGAGGAACACCGAUGGCGAAGGCAGCCCCCUGGGUCAAGACUGACGCUCAUGCACGAAAGCGUGGGGAGCAAACAGG
rnacentral:rRNA from 1 species